rnacentral:lncRNA from 1 species
GCGUCCUCGCUCGACCCAGCUACCUUCCCUACAGUCGGCGGAGAGGAAGUAAAAAAGCCAAAAAUAGUCCUUUCUGCGCUGCUAGGGCUCUGGCUCCUGCGCUGCUGGCUUCGCUGGAGCUGUGUGCCCACAAUCACAGGGCUGUUUGCUGAGCUGCUUUCAACAAGCAGCUCGAUAAACUAGUUUUGCAAGUGUCAUUGCAGCAAGCGUUAGUCAGUUGAGAAAGUGCAGUGGCUUCCUUACGGCACGGCACAGCACGCCGUGGAAGGCCCAGCUUCAGAGGGGCCUCAGCUUGGCCCCUCUCUGCAGGCACGGUCACUUUCUCUUCACAGAAGAGGAGUUCAGGAAAUGAGAAUUCCCAGAGACAGACUACAGACAUUGCAAAAGGUGAGAGACAAGAUGAAACACAGAUGCAAG